UAUACACUGUCUCCCUGCCCAGCAGUCCUUGCACAAAGCUCUAGAAAACUGUGAAAGUGCCUUCAGCAUAAACAAAUCCAGAACUCUCCCAGGACAAACCACUUGCCAACUAAAGGAAAGGCCUGGGGUUUAUGGUUUCUCUCCAAGCCAGAGGUUGAAACUCUCUGGAGGGACGAGUGCAACUGGGCAUCGGCAGAUGUCACUACAGGAAAACAAGAUCAAGUGAAGAUACUUUUUGCCUAUUACCUUUGAUAAUAAUCAUAACCAAAAAGAGAUGUGUCAACUCUGAGGUCUGGAGUGUCUGCGAUAUUCUUGGCGACACUCACAAACAUCUUAGUGAAGGGACAUAGUGGCUCCGGAUCCUCCAGCACAUGCCGCUGAGAGAGGCUUGACUGGGACUCCCUCCCCAGGCUCCCUCCUCGCUCUGUAGGAUGGAUGAGGGGUCGCCAGAUGGAAUGCUCUUCAAAGACCACGACUUCUCCUCUGACUUGUUGCGGCAGCUCAAUGCCUUGAGACAAAGCCGGACCCUGACGGACGUGAGCAUCUGCACCGGUGCCUGGGAGGUCCCCUGCCACCGCAAUGUGCUGGCCUCCAGCAGCCCCUACUUCCGGGCCAUGUUCUGCGGCAGCUUCCGGGAGAACAGAGAGGCCAAAGUCCAACUGAAAGGCAUCGACGCCCCAACUCUGGAGCAGAUCGUCUGCUAUGUGUACACGGGGGAGGUGAGCAUCACCAGUGAAAACGUCCUCCCCCUGAUGGAGGCAGCAUCCAUGCUGCAGUACCCCAAGCUGUUUGAGGCCUGCUCCUCAUACCUGCAGAGACAGCUGACCCCCAGCAACUGUCUGGGCAUGCUCAGGCUCUCAGAAAUCUUAAGCUGCCAGACCCUCAAGAAGAAAGCAAGGGAGGUGGCCCUGACACAUUUCCCGGAGGUGGCAGCAUCUGCAGACCUGAAGGAGCUCUGUGCCUUGGAGUUGAGAAACUACCUCAGUGAUGACGGGCUCUGUGGGGAGGAGGAAAAGGUGUUUGAGGCCCUCAUGGCUUGGAUCAAGCAUGACCUCCAGGCCCGGAAACAAUACGUGCAGGAGCUAUUCGAGCAGGUCCGGCUUCAGUACAUCCACCCUGCCUUCUUCCACCACUUCAUGGCCAACGACGCCCUCCUCCAAUCCUCACCCGCAUGCCGGACCAUCUUGGAGAUGGCCAGGAGGCAGGUGUUCUCUUUGUAUGGCACCUGCGUCCCAGACUGCAAACCCCUAUUGCACAUCCCUCCAAGAAACUCCUACCAAGACUUUCUCAUCCUCCUGGGUGGAAGGAAGGACAGCCAGCAGACCACCAGGGACGUCCUGCUCUACAACAGACAGACCGACCAGUGGCAGAGCCUCGCCAAACUCCCGGCCCGCCUGUACAAGCCCUCGGCCGUCACCUUGCACCGCAGCGUCUACGUGCUGGGGGGCAUGGCUGUGAGCUCAGGGAGGAGCCUGGUCAGCCACAGCGUCUACAUCUUCUCCCUGAAACUCAACCAGUGGAGGCUGGGAGAGCCCAUGCUGGCGGCCCGCUACUCUCACAGAAGCACUGCCCAUAAGAACUUCAUUUUCUCCAUCGGGGGGCUCGGGGAAGGGCAGGAGCUCAUGGGCUCAGUGGAGAGGUACGACAGUGUCUUUGAUGUCUGGGAAAGGAUGGCCAGCAUGCCAGUGGGGGUUCUCCAUCCUGCAGUGGCUGUGAAAGACCAAAGACUCUACCUCUUUGGGGGAGAGGACAUCAUGCAGAACCCUGUGCGCCUCAUCCAGGUUUAUCACAUUUCCAGAAACACAUGGUUCAAAAUGGAAACGAGAAUGAUCAAGAACGUGUGUGCCCCUGCAGUGGUGCUUGGGGAGCGGAUUGUCAUUGUAGGAGGUUACACAAGGAGGAUUCUUGCCUAUGACCCUCAGUGCAACAAAUUUGUCAAAUGUGCGGACAUGAAGGACCGUAGGAUGCACCACGGGGCCACGGUGAUGGGGAACAAGCUGUAUGUGACAGGCGGGCGGCGGCUGACCACGGACUGCAACAUCGAGGACUCAGCCUCCUUUGAUUGCUACGACCCCGACACAGACACCUGGAUAUCCCAGGGACAGCUGCCUCACAAACUCUUCGACCACGCCUGCCUCACGCUCCAGUGUAUCCCCCAUGCGUCCACCCUUCCAUGAGGUUGCAGGAAACCUUCUGUCAGGAUGCCUUCUGCUGCUAGAGAUGGAAACCAACUGCCAAGAGCUUAACCCUGAGAAAAUCAAGGACAGGGAGUGCUUACAGGACGGGGGUACCAGGGCCGGAAGGCCUGGAACCAGCCUCUACCCCCAGCUCUCUCUUCCCCUCUCUUUCUUUCUCUGCAUAUUUCUCCCCCUCUACCUCAUUUCUCUUAAGCUUCAUUCUACAAACAAGCUUCUUCAUCCACACGCCUGAGGACAAUGACAACUGAUAAACAGAGGCUCACAUUCUCUAGCUUUGAAUCUCAGGAGAGAACUUUAUCUGUAUGUUAAACUGAAAAGCAAUGCUGACGGCCCUUUUGGAACUUCAUCCCUACCUCUCUAGCUGGUCACUGCCGCCAGAGACUGUGCCGCUAUCCCUGGCUCAUCCUGGAUCACGGCCCCGUGAGCGGAGGUGGGGUUAACUGUUGGGACCUACAGCUCAGGUAACCAGAUAGCAGCAGUUCUCCCAAAGAAGAAAUUCAGGGCUAAAAAGCACAAACCAUAUGUGCCUGGGACACCACUGAAAUCUGGAAUGGGAGGCCUGCGGGAUCCAGCAGGGUCCCUGGAAGCACAUGGUCCAGGUGGCAGCGUGAGAAAUUUGCCAUGACUGUGUUUCUCUACAUUUUGUGGAUGCAGAACAUUGAAAUUCCAGGGAAGUAUGUGCAAUUCAGUGUCUGGUGUUUGUAAAGUUAUCCUGUACCGCCAGAAUAAAGUUUGUUUCUGGUGCCAAAUGAUGUUUUUCUCCAGCCUCCGAGGAGCUAUAAAACUGCAGAAUUAAUCGGGAUUUUCAUUUUGGUAAAUGUUAUGAGAAUUGCUCUUCUGGGGAAAGCCAGCAAAUUCCUUCAGAGCUCACAGCCGUCGCCACCCGUGGAUGCCAGGGUUCACGGUCCCUAUGCAGCCUUCAUCUCAGGGCACCCCCAUGCCGGCUCAGGGAUGAGCCUAAGGGCAGAGCAGAGGUUCUCAGAGCUACCUGCACUUUACGAUCACUCAGGAAGAUGUCUGAAAACGGGCUGAGCCCCAUUCAAGAUGGGUAGACAGAUUUUUAGAGGUGGGACCCAGAACUCCCUAUUUUUGGAAAGCUUCCCAGAUAGUUGUAAUGUGCAGACGGGGUCGAGAACCACUGUCCUGCUUAGCUGUGGGCACCAAAGAUUAUGGCUGGCUCCAUUCCCAUCCUGUCCCCCCCAGCCCGCCCAAGCUAAGCCACAUAGGCCAAAUUCUCUCCCCACCAAUAGAAGCAUCUGGAAUGAGUCUUGCUGCAUGAGCCUGGCACCAGACUACCCGCUCCCAAGCUGUAGCCUUCCUCCCCACCUGCUCUCUGGUCCACGUUCUGGACUUUUCCUUCCUAGUUUGUAUGUUUUGCACUUUGGGCUCUCCUGCUGGGGUCUGAAGGUCCACCCUGCUUUCCAGACCACUUAGCUGUGGUCCAGGGAUCCCACCAGGGUUGUCAGUCCUGCUGCUCAGCCUGGACACUGUCUUCCGAGCUGCUGGCUGUCAAUGUACUCCAACUCUUCUCUUUGAAUGCCUCUAUUCAGGCUCUGGUCCUGCUUUCCCUGAAGGUGACCUUGGAAAGACAACCAGUGACCAUUGGCUGCCCAAAGUGGGAGCCCAUUUUCCUUCCCUAUCCUACUAGACUGUUCAGUAGCAGAGGACAGUGCUGGCCUUCCUUCUUGAAACCCCUUCCUCAACCUCCCUCUGGGACAUUACUUGCCCCUGCUUCCCCUUGGACCACCCCCAGCCAGGCUUUACUCUUUUCUCCUCAUUUUUCAGGCAAAUAAAUGUAGACACACACCAGAGUUCAGUUUUCUCUAAUUCCAGACUUCACUGCUUACUCUGCCCGUCUGCUGUGAUGUUAAAUAGAUGCUUCAAACUCAGCAUGUUCCAGACCGCUCUCCCCUCACCAGACCCACUCCUCCCAAGAUUUCCCCACCCAGGCAGGGGACAACACCGUUUCUUCAGUUUCUCAGCCCAAAGCUGCAGGCUGCUCCUGAUUCCUCUCCCCCCACACUCCACUCUGUCUGCUCCAGAUACAUCAGAGCCCAACCCACGUCCUACCAUCCCCGGCACUGACUCAAGUCCGGCCAUCACCUUUUCUCAUCUGAGCUGUUAUGAUGGUGUCUUUUGGCUUUCACCUUGGCCUUCUGAAUCUCUUCUCAACCUGGCAGGCCAUGUGAUCUUUUAAAAACAUAAGUCAGAUAGGCUGUUUCCCUGUUUAAAACCUACCAAAGCCUUCCCAGCUCUCUCCGGUGGGCCUGGGAGCCUGCGAGAUGCCCCACCCUGCUGCGGCUCUCUGCUCUCAUGUCUAGGGUCCCUUCCCACCACAUCCCGCUCACUCAGCUGCAGCUGUGCUACUCUCUUGGCUCCCACAUUCUGAGCAAGCCCUGUUUCUGUUUCCACACCACCUGAAAACAGUUGCCCUGCACAUUGCACCCUCUUCCUUCUCUCCCUACCCCAGGAAGAUGCCUUCCCUGACCACCUUCCACCCAGUCCACCCACAGGUCCUGUCUGACCCACCCUGAAAUCAAUCAUAGACAUCUCCAGCCCUCGGUGUCCACUGCCACUUCCAUAAGCAAGAGCCGUCCUUGCACCCUGGCCAGUAUCUUCAGGAGCUCCUGGUUUCCACUCCUGUCCCAUGAUCCCUCCUAGAACAAUAAUCAGAGUAAUCUUAUUAAAACACAAACCUGAUUAUCUCACUCUCCUGCUUAUAAUGAUCCAUAGCUUCCCAGAGGCCUCUGCACCAAGCCCUUCAACCUUAAGGUAGCCUCUAGGGCUGUCCAUGACCCAGAACCUACCUGACCCUCUGUCUCAUCCUUCUCUGCUCCAGCCAUGCUUUGUCACGCUACAUCCUCCUCUCUCCUGCCUCAGGGCCUUUGCACAUGCAUUUGCCCAACCUGAUGUUCUGACCACUUCACCUGACAUAGUUUCAACUUACAUCUUAUACACCAGAUUAAAAGUCACUACAUCAAAGAGGCCUUCUGUGCACCCUCAACCCAGCUUGGGUCAGCUCUCUUAUUAAAUAACUGAUGGCCCCUGUACUUCCCCC